rnacentral:rRNA from 1 species
ACCUAGCGGCGGACGGGUGAGUAACACGUGGGUAACCUGCCUGUAAGAUUGGGAUAACUCCGGGAAACCGGAGCUAAUACCGGAUAACAUUUCGAACCGCAUGGUUCGAAAUUGAAAGAUGGCUUUUAGCUAUCACUUACAGAUGGACCCGCGGCGCAUUAGCUAGUUGGUGAGGUAACGGCUCACCAAGGCAACGAUGCGUAGCCGACCUGAGAGGGUGAUCGGCCACACUGGGACUGAGACACGGCCCAGACUCCUACGGGAGGCAGCAGUAGGGAAUCUUCCGCAAUGGACGAAAGUCUGACGGAGCAACGCCGCGUGAACGAUGAAGGCCUUCGGGUCGUAAAGUUCUGUUGUUAGGGAAGAACAAGUACUAGAGUAACUGCUGGUACCUUGACGGUACCUAACCAGAAAGCCACGGCUAACUACGUGCCAGCAGCCGCGGUAAUACGUAGGUGGCAAGCGUUGUCCGGAAUUAUUGGGCGUAAAGCGCGCGCAGGUGGUUUCUUAAGUCUGAUGUGA